GUGGGGAAUUUUGGACAAUGGGCGCAAGCCUGAUCCAGCAAUGCCGCGUGCAGGAAGAAGGCCUUCGGGUUGUAAACUGCUUUUGUACGGAACGAAAAGGCUCUGGUUAAUACCUGGGGCUCAUGACGGUACCGUAAGAAUAAGCACCGGCUAACUACGUGCCAGCAGCCGCGGUAAUACGUAGGGUGCAAGCGGUAAUCGGAAUUACUGGGCGUAAAGCGUGCGCAGGCGGUUUUGUAAGACAGACGUGAAAGCCCCGGGCUCAACCUGGGAAUGGCGUUGGGGACUGCAAAGCUGGAGUGCGGCAGAGGGGGAUGGAAUUCCGCGUGUAGCAGUGAAAUGCGUAGAGAUGCGGAGGAACACCGAUGGCGAAGGCAGCCUCCUGGGAUGACACUGACGCUCAUGCACGAAAGCGUGGGGAGCAAACAGGAUUAGAAACCCUAGUAGUCC
rnacentral:rRNA from 1 species